AUUGAACGCUGGCGGCAGGCCUAACACAUGCAAGUCGAGCGGAGCGGCGGACGGGGGAGUAAUGCCUAGGUAUCUGCCUGGUAGCGGUGGAUGACGUCCGGAAACGGGCGCUAAUACCGCACACUAUCAGCUGAGCCUCGGUGGGAUUAGCUAUUUGGUUGGGUAAAGGCCUACAAGGGCGACGAUCCGUAACUGGUCUGAGAGGAUGACCAGCCACACUGGAACUGAGACACGGUCCAGACUCCUACGGGAGGCAGCAGUGGGGAAUAUUGCACAAGGGGGGCAAGCCUGAUGCAGCCAUGCCGCGUGUAUGAGGAAGGCCUUCGGGUUGUAAAGUACUUUCAGCGGGGAGGCGUUACCCGCAGAAGAAGCACCGGCUAACUCCGUGCCAGCAGCCGCGGUAAUAC
rnacentral:rRNA from 1 species